UGGUGGCCAAGGGGGCGCUGCGGCACUGAACAUGAGCACUAGGGAAGGGGCUGGCUAACCUCCCCCAAGGAGACUGGCGGAGCCCCUUAUCAUCACGCCCGGAGGAUUCCCUCGGUGCCCGGGAUCGGCCGGUCGCCCCCAAAGUCAAGCAAGGGUACACUUUCCAGAGAGAACAACUUUGGCAAUAGGACCAGUGGGGUGCAGGAUGCUAGAGACUCAGCCAGGAUGCAGGCACUCUGUGACACCACCCAGACAAACGCAGGAGCCAGAUGACCUGGAAGGAUAAAGCUAGGAGCGUAUCUCUGCAUCGUUCAUCCACCUUCCACAGAGUGUACUGGGACUAGGAUUGCCUCGGCAAGUCAGCCGCGGAAUUUACAGUUGACACAACAGAAGAGGAGCCAGGUGGCAUCUGGCUGCAGCUACUUGUCCCGGAAGUGUCUGGUGGUGCUCAAGUUCCAGCAUUUUCAAUUAAUCUCAGAAUGGUCGCUGAAGGCAAGAAGCCAGAGGCGCCUAAGGAAUGUGAAAGAGCAAACUGAUCCACGGGAAACAAACGACAGCGAGGGACCCCACAGCUGAGGCAGACACUGUGAGCGGCUCGGCUCUUGGGAGGCUGGCGAGGCAGGCGUGCGCGCGGGUCUCUGCCUUGGCACCAUCUGCCGAUUCCUCAGGAGGACAGAACAGACCAGCGAGCCAUGAAGAUUCGAUUAUGUAACGCUGGAGGAUUGCUUGUUUUCCAAAGGGAGACAAAUGGAACGAAUUGAUUUGUUUGUCAAAGUCAUGUCAUUAAAGGAGACCAGUCCCCUCCUC